rnacentral:rRNA from 1 species
UACGGGAGGCAGCAGUGGGGAAUAUUGCACAAUGGGCGCAAGCCUGAUGCAGCCAUGCCGCGUGUAUGAAAAAGGCCUUCGGGUUGUAAAGUACUUUCAGUCGUGAGGAAGGUGUUAAGGUUAAUAACCUUAGCAAUUGACGUUAGCGACAGAAGAAGCACCGGCUAACUCCGUGCCAGCAGCCGCGGUAAUACGGAGGGUGCGAGCGUUAAUCGGAAUUACUGGGCGUAAAGGGCACGCAGGCGGUUAAUUAAGUUUGGAUGUGAAAUCCCCGGGCUUAACCUGGGAAUGGCAUUCAAGACUGGUUAGCUAGAGUCUUGUAGAGGGGGUUAGAAUUCCAUGUGUAGCGGUGAAAUGCGUAGAGAUGUGGAGGAAUACCGGUGGCGAAGGCGGCCCCUGGACAAAGACUGACGCUCAUGUGCGAAAGCGUGGGGAGCAAACCAGGGAUUAGAUACC